rnacentral:lncRNA from 1 species
AUCAAAGAUGACUGAAAUUGAUGAAAACAUGUGUGGAGAUCUGCAUUAUCUCUCUGUGUCCCCCUCCCCCGAGCUGAAGAUGGCUGGAAAUGAUAAAGCAAGGCAGAGAAGUUCAGCCGGUCCCAGCACCCAGAAGGAAGCUCACCCAUUGCCAUCCCAAGGUCCUAGGGCAGAGAAAGUGAGCCUUGUGGGUGCCAGAAGCACUCCCUCCAGUGGAAAUGAGAAGACAUAUAAACAAGUCUCAAAAACAGACUUCUGGAUCACCUACAGCAACCCCAAAGGGAAAUGAGAUGGAACAAUCUGAUACUCAACCACCUGGACUCUCUGAACUGGCAACAAAAGAGGAUCUGGGAAAAAUGAAAUCAGAAAUAAUUACUCAGAUAACAGCAAAGAUUUUGCUCAUGGUGCAAGACAUGAUUAAUAAAUCUAGAGAGGACACAGAUAAAAAAAAAUAGAGGAUCUGAGGAACAUGACGGAAUCCCAACAUAGGAAACAAAUGGAAUCCAUAAAACAGAUACAAACAGAUUUCCAAGAGAUUAAAAACUCCAUCGAAAGUCUGCGCAGCAGAAUGAACCAAUGGGAGGAUAGAAUUUCAG